CCAGACUGCAGCAUCUGGCUCAAAUGGCAUUGUCAUUGCAAUCUGCUCUGCUUACUCUAAUCGCCCUGCUCGCCCCAUUGCACCCACCAACACCAAGCAUGUAUAAUGCUCCAAACAAGGUUCGAGGUCGUACUCCGCUCUCAUCCUUGGAAGCCACUGUUCACACUCAAAAAACAAAGCAGCUUUCCAGACGCCGUUAAGCAAGCCAAAAAAGUGAACUCAUCAAGUACAAGCCCUUUAGCCGGCAUUACAUUGUAGAAGCCAAGCACAGAUCCCUUAUCUUAUCCCCCUGUUGAGCAUAAACAGCCAUCAUAGCAUUACACCCCACCAUUUUCAAUUCAGGCGACAACUCAUCAAAAACCAUCCUAUUCCUUGCAUCUACUGCAAGCCUCUAUAAUCACAUUCCUGUCCAAUCCCGCAACCACAUCAUUGCCAUGAAUCACUCCACACUGCCCGAAUAUUAGUAUGAACUGUGAAUGUGAAGAGAUUUUAUGGCUUGAGCGUAGAGGAUGCGUGGGUAAGUUUUGGUGUCUAAAUCUAGCAACUGGUUCAUUGUGAGAAAAAAAAAAAUCAUAUAUAGCCUGCCAGCAGACUAUAGAUGUCUUUGGAGUUGCAAUUUUUCUUCUUAAUCAGAAAUAAAAUUAAUUAUUGCGGAGUAAUGGUACAUGUACUGAAUAUGAUCUUUAAGGUGUUCGAGUCUCUCCUCAAAAUUAUUGCAGGUGUACUUGAAAGUGAUAGUUUUAUAUGUAGCCUGCCAGCAGCAAGGCUUCCAAGAAAUAAGAAAAAAAAAAUAGAGAAAACCUGACUUCAAAUAUCUUGGUAAAUUGUUCCCUUUCAUAUUCGCAAACAAGAGAAAUCUGGGAUAGUGCUGUUCUUUAUUGGUGUUGCACUCAACCCUCUCUUGGAUUCUUGAAUCCUGGCAGAAUUAUACUAAAAGCUAUCAUUUCAAAUCUAUACUGUUGGAGCUGGAAUAUUUCUUCUAGGAUGCGAUUGAAUUCAGUACUGUCAACUAAAGAUUGCUGAGGUUGCAAAAUGAUGCCAAUAGUACAUUUUCUUUCUUCAAUCUACCAGAUAUGGAGUUUACAACUCUUCAAUCUUGUUCAUUCCCCAUCACAGCACCUGGAAAUCAUCCUACCGGAUCUGGAAUGUUUGUGAAAUAAAAGAGUUUGCCUUUGGAUUGGUAUUCUAAAAUGCAAUAAUGUUCGCGUUUUGUUAUUUGCUACUGCUGUGAAGUUUAUUUACGUUUAGAGUUGUGAUCUGGCAACAACACAUCUUUACGGAUGUGGUGUCAACUGAAUAUUGGAUGCUUUGUCAUCCAAGUUGCCAUGCCAUAGAAGCUCGACCAAUCAUUGGAUUCUGUUUGUGAUAACUUUCUACAGCUGUCGCCUCUCAUACCCAGCUGUGAUCCUUCAAGUCUUCACACUAUUAUUUUGUUCUGUUUUUCUUUAAAUUAAUGAUAAUUUUGUAAUUUUAUAUGGAUUUAUAUUAGAAAG
rnacentral:misc_RNA from 1 species